GAUAAACGCUGGCGGCGUGCAUGAGACAUGCAAGUCGAACGAAGGAUCGGGCUUGCUCGAUCCUUAGUGGCGGACGGCUGAGUAACGCGUAGGUGACCUACCCCGAAGUGGGGAAUAACUGCCCGAAAGGGUGGCUAAUACCGCAUGUGGUCGCACGUUCAUUCGUGCGAGUAAAGCCGCAAGGCGCUUCGGGAGGGGCCUGCGUCCGAUUAGCUCGUUGGUGGGGUAAUGGCUUACCAAGGCGACGAUCGGUAGGUGGUCUGAGAGGACGAUCACCCAGACUGGGACUGAGACACGGCCCAGACUCCUACGGGAGGCAGCAGUCGGGAAUUUUGCUCAAUGGGGGAAACCCUGAAGCAGCAACGCCGCGUGAGGGAUGAAGGCCUUCGUGUUGUAAACCUCUUUUGUCAGGGACGAUGAUGACGGUACCUGGCGAAUAAGCCACGGCUAACUACGUG
rnacentral:rRNA from 1 species